rnacentral:misc_RNA from 1 species
CCGAGUUUACAACUCCCAGACCCCUGUGAACAUACCUUAAGUUGCCUCGGCGGAUCAGCCCGCGCCCCGUAAAAAGGGACGGCCCGCCGCAGGAAACCCUAAACUCUGUUUUUAGUGGAACUUCUGAGUAUAAAAAACAAAUAAAUCA